CAAUGAAGUACAACUGUGGGACACCUGUAAAGGCGUGUUCAUGAUGGUAUUUCUCCUUCAGUUUCCUCAUUACAUUGAUUUCGUGUAUACCCAUUAGGUUUUCCCUCUUUUAAUCAGGUUUCAUCGAAGCUUUUCCUUCAUUUUCUUGGGAGGAUAUUCGAUUGACCGAGUAAUUGGUAUUGACGUCUCUAUGUCUCUCUUCAAUGCUUUCGAUCUCUACGUACCAUAGUUUUUUGUCUGCAAAGAACGGUGCCAUCUUACCUGGAGAAGCCGUUUUGGGGAGAAUACUUGGUGAUAGCCGACUAUAACGGGUUGUUGUUUUGUGGUGUCGUCAAAUCCUAUUCACAGGUGAGAAAUUUUGAGUUUUUAGCAUUUAAUUUUCUGAUAUGAGGACUUUUAGUUGUAUCUUUAAAUUUAAUUUAAUACAAAAUGAUUGAUUUAUCUUUUUUUGUCAGUGCCAUGUCUUGAAUCUGAGGUUUUUUUUUAAAGCAAUGGGUUUGGUACUGUUAAUUUUGUUUUCACCGUUUGUACAGAUAAAAAAAAAAUCUAGAAUAAUGUACACAGAUGAAAAACAGAACAAUGAAAAUAGGACUGUAGUGGACUGCGUCUAUAAUUAUCACUAUAGUGACAAUUAGUGCAAGUUCAACUAUAUAGUAAUGAUGAUGUUUUCCAGUAAGUAUGGAUUAUAGACUGGACAAAUCAUCAGUAUAGUCAACAAUUGGGGGGAAAACAGGCUAAAGUAAUAGGCGAAAUUAUUUUCAUAUUUAAGGGGAAUGUAUUGGUUUAUCUAUCCUGAUCCAGGAGGAGGUUUGUCGUAUCUAAACCCAUAAAGGACUUUAGAAUCUGUAGAGUGUCAGUUGCAUUGUCCAUUUCAAUUGUUUAAUAUUGACUUAAUUUGCUUCGUUGGUUAUAUAGAGGUUGACACUUUAAAGAAGCCUUAUUUGCCUCUCCGAGAGGUACGUGUUCAAGUGUCUCAUUCCAUGCCACCAGAGAAGGUAGAGAGAUCUUCUGAGGUACUACUUACUCAAUGAUGGAUCUGCAAUUGAAAGCCCGAAAGAAAAAGAAGAAAAAGGCAGAUAAACAAAAGGGGAGGGGAGGGGAGUGGAGGGAAGGAAGAAGAUGAAAAGAACGAAAAGAAACAAAACCGAUAGACAUAAAGGUUAAAGUAGGAAUUGAAGAGUGAGGUGAGAAAAAACAAAGAAGUAAAACUGGAAAGGAGAGAAGAUAUCAGAUUUUUUAAAGAAAAGUGAAAAAAAAGAGCGGCAAAUAAGCAGAUAUUUAAGAAAAUAACAUGAUUUCAUUGAUAUACAAUAUUUUAUGGUUAUUGUGUUGGUUUCGUCCCUUUUGUUCUUCUAACAUAUGCUGUUGUCAUUUGUAUGUGCUUUGGCUUAUUUUAAGCUACAUUGAUGCUGAGUUUGCAAAUUUAAAUGUGUAGUAUGAAUAAAUGUAUAACGUAUAAUAUUUGUGAUCUGCUUGGUGGUUGGCGAUGCAGGGACGUCGAAACAAGUCAAAACAUGUCAUGGAUUUGGUUUGGAAUUUUUUUUUUCCCUUCUGAAAUCCAGUCAGUUAUAGUUUCAUAUUCAUAUUGUUGUGUCAGUUUUAUGUCUUGGUUUGGGUGGUGCGAAUGGUAAUGAGCUAGGUUUUGUCGAUAUUUGUAAUCAGUUAGAUUGGUUAGAGUUUAGCCCCUAUCGUUUGUUUCGAACCAAGUGUGACAGCAUUUCUGACCAUGGUUUGCUUUUGUGUAUUUGGUUGUUUAUUGUCUUUUAUUUACCUUAUCAUAUUUUUAACAUUUACUCCUCAUUAACCUGUAUUGAGUUCACAGGGUAUCAUCAUAAUUGGAUAGUGCGCUAAUAAUUAUAAACCGAGUAUUUGUUGCCCUAUUACAAAUAUUAGGGCAGAUUGACACUUCUGAAAUGGAAUACAUAUCAUACUGUGUGUUUUGUUUAUUUUCUCUUUUAUUUUUCUAGCAUAUGCAAUUGUUAUGUGUAUGUGCUUCAGCUUAUUUUAAGCAAUAUUGAUGCUAUUUUCUUGCUGAAUUUGCAGCUUUAAUGUGUAUUAGUAUGAAUAGAUGGUUAACAUAUAAUAUUAAUCAUUGCUACAUUGUUUUCACAUUUUCUAUAAUAUUUCGAACUUAUGUGACCGUUUGGUUAUCUAUAUAUCAUUAUAAAAUGACUUAAGAUUGGCGAAGAUAGAUUAGAAUUUUGGGAAGGAAGCAAGAAAACUCAAGUACCAUAGCUGAAUUGGAAGCAAGGAAUCUCAAGUACCAAACUACUGGGACUGAACUCUUCUUAUGGGGUUUGGGGUUUCUUCAUGAGGAUCUGCAGAUGGCUACUGGCAGCUUCAAUGCUGACAACAUUGGGGAGGGGUCUUUUUAACAGUUUUAUCGUGCUCAAUUUGAUGAUGGGAAGAUAUACUUCUCUUGCUUAUCAAAUUAUAUAAUUUAGCAUUCUGGGGAUUGAAAAAAUAUCUCUGGUUCAUUAAUGGUCAUCAUUUUGUAGGCAAGCUGAACUUUCUCCAGCUUACUGCUGUUUUGUCUUAUAGAUGACUUCUUUUAGUUGGGGUGGCAUUCCUGGUGCUUAAUAAUGUUCCUGCUUUGAAGAAGGCAUAUAUUGGAAUUGCUGUAGCUGAUGCUGCUAGAAGUGCUUCUGACAUUGUUCUCACUGAACCUGGGUUGACUGGGCUAUUUUUUGACUAGCUGGGUUAUUUUUCCAAAGGAUCAAGAACGAUACUGUCAGUCAUCAUUGCUUCUUAAGACCAUCACAAGGAGUAGUAGGGGAUUGAGUUGGUUCACAUGCGUAGGACAAAAAACUAGAAUAAUGUACAGAUAAGUAAAGAGAAUAUUGACACUGAGUACACAUAGUUCAAACUCCACAGUAAUGGGUGUGAUCUGGAUUAGGGGUUAAAUGGUUUGAAUUUAAAAGAAGACGAAUGAAAUUCAUGGUUACAUUCAGCAGCAACAGCAAGGUAAAAGACUACAGUGAACAACAAUCUAUUUGUCUUGAAAAUAAGAUAUUGUUCGUGUUGUUAAA